rnacentral:lncRNA from 1 species
CCUUCCCUCCCUUCCCCCUUUACUCCUCGAUCUCGGGGUUCUGCGGACUCGGGGGUGACGGAGGAGAUGGAGUAAGCGUUCGGUGGCGGCCAGGAGCGCGGCCCGAGCAGUCACAGCCCGGAGGCAUUGAGGGAGCCGGCGGGGGACCGGCCCCAGCACCGCCCCUCCAGGUAGCCGGCUGCGAGGUGAGUGACCUGUCUCGGGCACCGGGCGACCUGGGUCUGCGGCCAGCUUGCGGGCUACGGGUCUCCCCGGGCCUCCCGGCUGCUACUGUUGCCUAGUGACGGGCCGGGUCGGGCGGGCUGGCGGUGGGUGGCCCGGGAAGCCGGAUCCAGGUAGCGAGAAGCGGGAGGGAGCGGAUCUCAGAGGCCGGUGACUCUGGGCGAGGCCUUCGGGCGACGGGAGCCCCGCUGCCUGGGUCAUUCUGCUGCUGGGAGAGUCCCCAGAGCUGGCGCAGGAGCUCGGGUUUCCGCCGUGGAGAUCUCCGUAUCCUUUUGGGAAAUUGGACAGUGCUCCGGGACUGCUGAGACAGCCCCCCUCGUUUCUGAUACUUGGUUCCGAUAGCUGGGGUCACCGGCUAAGGCCCUGCACUUCGGACGCCUUUCUCUGAUGGUAGUUGUCUUUCUGGACUGGACGGUUAUUGUGUGUGUGAGGUGGGUGGGGCAGAUAAGGUUUGAGAGAAAGAAAUCCCCAUGGGGGCUCCAGUGCGCCUGUUUAAGCUACAGAAAAAGGUUUAGACAGAUAAAGCUUGCAGAAACUUCUUGGGAUUCGCAUGGACGCGUUACCUGUGAUCAGUAAUUAAGGACACACAGUGUUUCCCUUUCUCAACAGGAUUGAAGAGACUCCAGACCAGCUCCUUAAAGUGAUUUUGAUUGUAAAUUAUCAGCUAGAGGUUUUUCUUUGCACAUCAAAACCAGGGAUUGUGUGAUGACACUUUGAAACGCCGUAUUUAAGUUUUCUGAGUCGUGCGCCUCUGUUCAGAGAAAGCAAUUUAACAAAGAUGCUGUAAGUCAGUCAGCCAUUACAAAACCCAAGCAGUUCUGGUGUUUGCUUGGAAGAUUCUUUUUCGACUUUGAAGGCUUUCCCCUCCUUAAUAAAGGUUGGAGGAGAAGGGGAUUGUGGUUAUGCAAAGGAAAGGAGCCUAACUGAACACAUAGAGCUUUAUUCUGUUCAGAUAUACCUACGCACAUGUGAAGAUCAUUCAUUUUGUCUGUCAGAGACGAUUACAUAUGUAAUACAGAUGUGUUGUAAUUCCAUACAGUAGGACAUUGCUAUACAAAUACAUUCUAUAUUUGGGAAUUAAAUCAUGUUGACAUAGUUGAAAUUUGUGAUUUAUCCUCUC